GAGGCACUACGGUGCUGAAGUAACAAAUGCCCUGCUUCCAGGAAAAGCCUCUAAGCAUCAGGUAACACGAAAUCGUACCCCAAACCGACACAGGUGGUCAGGUAGAGAAUACCAAGGCGCUUGAGAGAACUCGGGUGAAGGAACUAGGCAAAAUGGUGCCGUAACUUCGGGAGAAGGCACGCUGAUAUGUAGGUGAAGCCCCUGCGGGUGGAGCUGAAAUCAGUCGAAGAUACCAGCUGGCUGCAACUGUUUAUUAAAAACACAGCACUGUGCAAACACGAAAGUGGACGUAUACGGUGUGACGCCUGCCCGGUGCCGGAAG
rnacentral:rRNA from 1 species